rnacentral:miRNA from 1 species
UCUCCAGCUGUUUUCAGACUACAAUUCCAUUCAUCCCUGACCACUGGUGCUGCUAGCCAGGGAUGAUGGGAGUUGUAGUCCAGAAACAGCUGGAGA